rnacentral:tRNA from 1 species
GUUCAGUGGUCUAGAGGUUAAGAGUUCGUGCGCAAGACCGAAAGUUCUGGGUUCGAGUCCCACAUGCAGAAUUG